GUAUUUAUGGAAUCGUCCGGCCAGAAACGGGGAAGAGCCCAUGCUGUCGUAGAGGCCUCGUCGAGUGCUUCCGCUACGCCUAAUUCUGAGGAUGAUGAUAAGCGGAAAAAAGUGUCCCGCCAAGACGCCAAUGGCAAAGAGUCAGAGCCGCCCAUAAAUGGGGCGCAACCUGAAGUACCAUCCAUUGCGUUCUUAAAGAAAAGAAUUAAAACAGUUCUAAGGUCCUGUCGAGAUAGGAACCCUAGGGAGAGCACAUUACGCUCUACUUACGAGGAUCUUCACCUUGAAACGGCGAGCGCCGAGAAGCGGGUAAAAAUCGCCCAGGCCCUAGAAAAUCUGUACAGGCGAAGCCAAUAUUUCCGGAGUAACAAAAGGCAGCAGCCCCAUACCGACUUGAUUAUUCAAAUCUGCGAUUGGGAGCGUACGAAGAGGUAAAGAAAUUCACUGGUGUAGGCAUAGGAAACCGAGGCCCCCCAAACCCAUCUACUAUACGGUUGAGGUGAGGGGGGGAAAGAAGAGUGGGCAUGUGGGCUUCUUUCACUGUGUC
rnacentral:misc_RNA from 1 species